CAGCGGUAGGAAUCUUAAGUAUUGUAGAAAUUAUAUGAACAUAUGAUAUCAUUGUCAAUAAAAAUGAAGUUAGAAGUAUUAAUGAUCCCAAGAUGAAAUUAAUUACUUCAAUAGUGUGUAUGUUUUGACACGAGAGCUUUAAUAGUGGUGGAGAAUCACAGAAAAAAUGAUUUAUGACAAAGCCACAAAAGGACAAUCGAAAUAUAAAUGUGGUUGGCAAAAAUGGAGCCAGUAAACCAACAGACCAGCA